UUCAUGCAUGCUGGACCAGCACUCUACCACUAGGCCACAUUCCCAGUUUAUCUUCAGUGUUUAAGACAGUGUUGAGUAUUUAGUAAAUCUUCCUGGUGUGAUCUUUAAGAAACUUUCUCAAAUGUUCAAAAACUUCAGUCAGGAGUUAAUUGUUCAAUCUACAGUAGUAUUUUUUACUUUAAAUAUCAAAUUUUGUUUUAAAUAUGAAA